AACCACUUCGGUGGGGAUUAGUGGCGAACGGGUGAGUAACACGUGGGCAAUCUGCCCUUCACUCUGGGACAAGCCCUGGAAACGGGGUCUAAUACCGGAUACCACUCUCACGGGCAUCUGUGAGGGUUGAAAGCUCCGGCGGUGAAGGAUGAGCCCGCGGCCUAUCAGCUUGUUGGUGAGGUAACGGCUCACCAAGGCGACGACGGGUAGCCGGCCUGAGAGGGCGACCGGCCACACUGGGACUGAGACACGGCCCAGACUCCUACGGGAGGCAGCAGUGGGGAAUAUUGCACAAUGGGCGAAAGCCUGAUGCAGCGACGCCGCGUGAGGGAUGACGGCCUUCGGGUUGUAAACCUCUUUCAGCAGGGAAGAAGCGAAAGUGACGGUACCUGCAGAAGAAGCGCCGGCUAACUACGUGCCAGCAGCCGCGGUAAUACGUAGGGCGCAAGCGUUGUCCGGAAUUAUUGGGCGUAAAGAGCUCGUAGGCGGCUUGUCACGUCGGGUGUGAAAGCCCGGGGCUUAACCCCGGGUCUGCAUUCGAUACGGGCUAGCUAGAGUGUGGUAGGGGAGAUCGGAAUUCCUGGUGUAGCGGUGAAAUGCGCAGAUAUCAGGAGGAACACCGGUGGCGAAGGCGGAUCUCUGGGCCAUUACUGACGCUGAGGAGCGAAAGCGUGGGGAGCGAACAGGAUUAGAUACCCUGGUAGUCCACGCCGUAAACGGUGGGAACUAGGUGUUGGCGACA
rnacentral:rRNA from 1 species